rnacentral:rRNA from 1 species
ACGGGUGAGUAACGCGUGGGAAUCUACCCAUCCCUACGGAAUAACGCAUGGAAACGUGUGCUAAUACCGUAUACGCACUACGGGGGAAAGAUUUAUCGGGGAUGGAUGAGCCCGCGUUGGAUUAGCUAGUUGGUGGGGUAAAGGCCUACCAAGGCGACGAUCCAUAGCUGGUCUGAGAGGAUGAUCAGCCACAUUGGGACUGAGACACGGCCCAAACUCCUACGGGAGGCAGCAGUGGGGAAUAUUGGACAAUGGGCGCAAGCCUGAUCCAGCCAUGCCGCGUGAGUGAUGAAGGCCUUAGGGUUGUAAAGCUCUUUCACCGGAGAAGAUAAUGACGGUAUCCGGAGAAGAAGCCCCGGCUAACUUCGUGCCAGCAGCCGCGGUAAUACGAAGGGGGCUAGCGUUGUUCGGAAUUACUGGGCGUAAAGCGCACGUAGGCGGACUUUUAAGUCAGGGGUGAAAUCCCGGGGCUCAACCUCGGAACUGCCUUUGAUACUGGAAGUCUGGAGUAUGGAAGAGGUGAGUGGAAUUCCGAGU